UCAGACUGCUGAUGUGAUUCUUGGGAUUCUUGGCCAUUGGACGGCUCAGUCUUGUCCAUCCCUGGCUGCCUCUUCCAGUGCCUGUGCAAGUCUGAACAAACACAGAUGCCAGGACCCCACUCUUUAGAGCUGGAUGUUUAUAAAGUGCCAAAGGAGAUUCGGCUGUGCAACCAAGGUUGAGUUGGACAACGGAGGGGUGAGGUGGUUUCAGCCGCAGUCCACCACUAAUUGGCUGUGUGAUCUCAGGCGAGCCAAGCUCCCACUCUGAGACGUGGUUGUUUCCUUUGCAAAGUAAGGCAGUGGAACUGCGUGAUCAUCUAAAGACUCGUCCCGCCUUUCUCUGGUAAGUGUGAUCCACACGUUGAAAUUAAUGGUUGAACAGUCAGUAAUCCGGGGCUCACCUUUCAAAAAGAGAAAGGCCAGCUGGAAAAUGGCAUAAUUAGAAGAGGGAAAGAAAAGUCUCUCUCAAGAGACUGCUGUUCCACAAAAAGUCAGCCUGUCUGUGAUCGUCUAAGCAGCACAUUACCGUGACAGGGGAACACGGUGGCGGUGCCGAAAGAUGGGCGGCGAGUGGUAAGUGGGGGUGUUUGAAAGAGAAAAGUCUAUUUUAGAAGACAUCUAAUAAAGCCGGAGGAGGCAGCCCACACACAGACACUGAGCUGACAGCCUGCCGCCAAGACUCC
rnacentral:lncRNA from 1 species